GCGCCUAUAGCUCAACGGACAGAGCAUCCGCCUUCUAAGCGGGGGGUGCGGGUUCGACUCCCGCUAGGCGUA
rnacentral:tRNA from 2 species